GCAGAAAGUGAACGUUUUUCAACCUGUCCCUUACAGUUUCUCCUGAGUGAAGGACCUACCAGAAGCCUCCCUUGGAAAAGUUAAGGAGACGCUAAUUAAAAGAAUACUGUAUGUCCCUGAUGAGGGACUGUUGACAAAGAAGAGCUAACUCCACGAGUCAUUGGAGCAGCUCCUGACAGAGAUGUAAGACGUAGCAGAUCUGAUCUGGAAAUCACCUUCAUUGCUGAAAGACCACCGCUUCCCUCCAAGAGACACAACAGAGGGCACAAAGAGGAACAUAGGUCCGUCUGCUUCAGGACCAGGAAUAUGAUGGUUGGGCUACAUGAUCUUGGUGCUUUUCCAGCCAAAAUGAUUCUGCGAUUCCAUGAAUACUCCGUCCUAAACUGCCACUCAAGACACUAAAAGCUAAAACAGCACCAGCAGAGGGAGACAAACCCUGUUAUCAGACCAGGACCUGUAGGAAUCACUGCUUCUUUGUAGGAACCUGAACUGGAAACCUGAAGGAGGAA
rnacentral:lncRNA from 1 species